CGGAGGAUCCAAGCGUUAUCCGGAAUCAUUGGGUUUAAAGGGUCCGUAGGCGGUUUAGUAAGUCAGUGGUGAAAGCCCAUCGCUCAACGGUGGAACGGCCAUUGAUACUGCUAAACUUGAAUUGUAAGGAAGUAACUAGAAUAUGUAGUGUAGCGGUGAAAUGCUUAGAUAUUACAUGGAAUACCAAUUGCGAAGGCAGGUUACUACUUAUGGAUUGACGCUGAUGGACGAAAGCGUGGGGAGCGAACAGGAUUAGAUACCCUGGUAGUCCACGCCGUAAACGAUGGAUACUAGCUGUUCGGAGCAAUCUGAGUGGCUAAGCGAAAGUGAUAAGUAUCCCACCUGGGGAGUACGUUCGCAAGAAUG
rnacentral:rRNA from 1 species